AUUGCUUCCGUUUCGUACUAAUGAACUAAACCACCCGUUCCAAAUGCGUUUUUACGCAAUCGUUUAAACGUGCGUUUUGAAUAACGGAAAGGGAACUUUUUAUUGAUGGGUACCAGGGAGAAAGAAUUUACUUGGCGCUCAAUUACAUGUACAUACGUGUAAAAAUAAUAUUUUGUACACUGGCAUAGUGUACGUGUAUAUUUAAUGUUUGACGUUAAUUUUUAUUACAGGUUGGUGGAAGAGAACCCUAUCCGAAAAUUUAAUGGCAUGCUCGAGUGGAGGGUUACUCCUAGAUACAGACUGUUAUUUUAUGGACAUGAGCAACUCAGAGAAGGAAAGGAGACUGACUAACAUCAGGGCAUUUGCUAGUCAUAGUUAUGCAAAGGUCCCUUGUGAGAGCAAUGAGGAGGAUCUUGAUCCGCCACCAACCAAGAAAAAAACAGAGGUGAGUGCGUGAGUCCGUUUUGCAUGCUUGUUCCCCCCCAUAGACAGCCGGCGACGACCCAGAAGCGACAGCCAGCGAGCAGCCAGCGGGCAACGACCCAGAAGUGACAGUCAGUGGACUAUACCUGUAAGGCAAUGGAACUACAUUCAAGCCAAGAUGUUGCGUGAUAUUCUCAAGCACCCUGAAGUUGAGAGAUUGUUGCCUCAAAUGCAAUGAGCUAAAUGAUCCAACUUUUGCUUCGAUUCAUAUUUCUGAAGUUUUAAACCCAUCGUCAGAUUAUUGGGUCCAACAAACUUCUAUGAGGGCAUCCAAUAGUACAAGUAUAUCGUGGAAUGUGAUAUAGCUCAAGUAAUGUUGUUGGGAAAAAGGUGCGAAGAGUUGAGUAUGUUGCAAGUAAAGAUGAUUAACGUUUUGGCAUACUGGAAAAACCGUUUGGAGCAACUCACUACAUACUUAGACGACAAUCUGUGUAUGCGGAAAACCAUCAGCAGAGGAGGGUUAACUCUGGAUGAAUUACAGACGGCUACUACUGAAGUGGAAAUGAUUGUCAACUCCCGUCCGCUCACCUAUAUUUCCAUGGACAGCAUCCAAGAAGCAGUUACUCCCUCUCAUCUGAUGACUGGUCGGAGACUGAUGAGCCUACCCGACGGUCCCUACAACGAAGAGAAUUGUACUUGUCGAAUGCCUGACCGUAAAGAUGUGCCAAUGGUAGAAUGUUUUGGUUGCAGCUCAUGGUUCCAUUUUGCUAGUCGAUCAUGAUAAAAACUCUAUUUUUUCUGCACAAUGGCCUCUUUGAGUGCAUUUUUUGCUCACAGCAAAAACCAUCCCUCCUUACUGGGAUCAAGCUAGGAACAUAUUUCGACAGGCUAUAUCGUCUGAAAAAGGCAUACACAGAGGUCAUGCAAAGAGACUUCAAGAACGAUCUUGCAAAAACUUUUAUAGAGAAGUUUUUUGAUUUUCUAACAGUGGAUCAUGAGGAUUUUGAGACCUCUUCUUCUGCGAGUACGACGAAGAGCCCAGGGGUAUGAUGGAACUUCAUGGGAUCACAGAUGGGGCAAUAAUGAAAAACAACAACCAAGUAAUUAUUUCCGAGGGGAAGAGUAAAGCAGAUACUGAAAACUAUGUAAAAGGAGAAGGACAACUAAUAGUAGCGAUGCAGCUGUCUUGGAGUACAGAUGGAGAGAACUCACGAGUUUGGGUUAUCAAAGCAGUUGAUUUUUUCUUGCACGUACGACGUAACAUCAAGGCCCAACUUGCUGAUUAUCGGAUUCUUUUAAGUGCCUCGGACAGAAUUCAAAGAAUGUCGGUGGUGUAUUUGUUGAAAGUGAUGAUGAUGAUUUUCAAGCACAAGGUUGAGCAGCUUGUUGAUUCCUGGCAGACUACACGAAACUAAUAACGGUGAUAUUGAAGUUAUCGAGUACUUUAGAAAGGUUGAAGUGCCUGUCAUUCGUCAAAGAAUCUAGUGUGGUCCUUCUACUAGUGAGAGCUGUACUCAAGCAGAAGACGUACUCAAGCAGAAUAUGAACUACAAUCGAAGCCUGUAUUCAUUAGCCGAGUGCGUGAGUUGAUUACUAUUGAUUGGAAAAAUACAGCCUCAGGAAAAAUAUGUAAAACCCAUGUACAUUUUAAACAAAAAUUAAUUAAGCAGAAAGACAGUACAAGGCAAUCGGAAUCACAGGUGAGUGUUUUUUGUUUGCAUAGUUCACACAUGUCAUUAAUUCUAUUCCAAAUAGCAGUAUUGUCCUUUGUUUGAGCUAGGAUGUCAUAAUUAUGCUGAAAUUUUCUCCCAGGACCUAUACUCGAGCGCUACUUCUCUAGACAACGCCAUCGUGAAGAUAGCAAUUAAAAUCCAUGUUCAUUCCACCUAGUACGUCCUAGCUGUGUGUUUAUGUAAGCGUAAGUAUAAAAUUUUAGCUAUAUGUCUGCAAACCAGAGCAUAACCCUCAACAUGUUACUUGCAUAAUCUCACAACAUCUUGUAAUGUUGUAAAGCUUCGAUUUCAACUAUACCAAUAAAAUUUGGUAGGUGUUUUAAUUUGCAUCGCUGGUAUAGAGCCGGCAAGGUAUCUGGAGCAGUAGAUCCCUAUCGUAGUGAGCGAAAAGAGUGGAGUGAUGACAUAGACUUAUGGCCCAGUAGAAUAUGUUACUAUAAUGUGCACAACGAGUUCUCAAUGUGUUCGCAAGUUGGCAUACAUGGUAAAACCAAUCAUAGUCUGCAUGCUACUGGUGCCACAAGAUUGUUCGCUGCAAACAUUCAUCAUUACCAGUCCAUAUACUUGAGAUCAGCUAUUGACUUUAAAUCACGGAAAAAAGAUUGUGCUGCAUUGCAAAAUCCCCAUGGUUGAACAUAUUCGUAAGGCGGUAUUGAACGCAGCCAACCUGCUGCAGUCCUGCUUCGACUGCAGCAGGCCAAUAAUAAUAUGUAUAAACUAUAACAGACGUGACAGCUAGUGUUUGCUCUACCCAACCUCUUUUUUCGUCAAUUGCUAAAAAAUGAGGGACUUAACUCGUUUUUUGCUGUUGUUUUAUAACAUCACACUAUCCACUGUAUCUUUUGAUGUGCUGAUCGAUCGGUCCAAACAGUGCGGAACAUCACACUAUCCUUUGAUAUCACUGUAUCUUUUGAUGUCCUGAUCGAUCGGUCCCACGUUCUUCUUAAGCUACACUUUUUACUACAUGCCAUGAAUAAUCAAUGAGUCCAGUGAAAGCAUUAUGCUAUAUGAUUUGAAUGCAGAAUGUGUAUGUUGUACUUCUCACUUCAAGCAAAAAUAUUAAUAGACCAAUGUCGCAAAUGCUAAAAUUAGAGUUGCUGAUAUUGCUGAGUCCCAAUAUUCAGGUUGAUUAUAAUUAUGAGUCCUAUUCAUUGUUGCAUGUUUUGAACAAAAAUCAACCAAAACAGAAAAUUUAACGAGUUGGGUUUCCAAACACUUGCCAAUACAAAAAUAGUUGGUUUAAAAUCUAGUCCAACAAGCUUGGUACUCAGCGCACAUAUCCAAUAAAAUUAUGUAUAAUUAUACUUGUACACAUUGUUACAGGGUAAAUACAAUCUCUAUGAAAAACCAUAGGAGAAAUUAAAUAAAAAUGAAUUCUAAAUAAGUCAAAUCAAAAGACAAACUUGCUUCUACUGCAUGCUCCUCCAUACUUAAUAAUUAUUGUGAAGUUCAUUGAGGACAACCAAUUGUGUGCUGUUCCAAGAUCGGAGGAGAUUGUAAAGUCCUCACCAUGCAACUAUAGGGGUUCAGAAUGCGUUGCGAGAUAUGCUGGGAUCAGAUACGAAGCUGUUGUGGUUGCCACUGAUAAGUUGGUUGGAGACGCAAAAAAUUGAGACGCUGUUAAACAAAACAGAAUACAUUUGGGUUCACUUCCACAACUCAUUCCGGCUCCCAGCAACAACAACAUCGCCGGUCUACUGGACACAGCAUCUGUUAAUUCGCCCGAUUCCUGAUAUGUGAAGAAAUUGACAUUCCUCUGAGAUUGGAAAACAAUGUCUUUUACAUAUAAUUAUAUAAUGGCUUCAACAUCAGACCGUCUCGUGAAAUCACAACCAGAAAUUCUUUUCCUUUCUUUUUUUAUUCUUAUGAUCACACCUGCCUUUUAUUUAAAACAGGAAUUUUAUUUUAUAGAAGGAAAUGAAUACACUUUUUUAUUCCGUAUAAAUGCUUGUGGGCUGACGUUCGAGUAUGCAGCCUGACGAACUCAGUAUAAUAUAUACCCAUCUCAUUCACAGUUUGAAUAUAUUUACAGCAUGUUAAAUCAUUUCAUUUCCGAUUUGACGUACAGAACUUAGUAAACUUUUGACUGUGUUCAAGGCCCAAAAGCUUGCAGGGAUGCUACAAUGGGAAGAGAAAGCAAAAGAUUUUUCAGUAUAGAUACUAUACAUGUAUGUUAUUCCCAGAUUUCCAGCGAAAUUAGCAAAAAAGCCAGGUUCACGGGAAAAAAGCUGCAAGUGUAAGAGUAAGCACAUUCUUUCGUUAAGGUCCAUCUGUUAUUUCGUAUCAAUUUCAAUUUCGUUGCUGUAGUUCCUUUUGGUGGAUGAGACUCCAAUUAACAACUUGAUGAGUGGCUCAUCAGCUUUCUCUUGGAUACACAUACUUAUUAUAUAAUUUGAGGGUUGUGUCGUCUGUGUGGCUGGUGCGUCUAGCAAACAGAAAGGUCUAAUAAAAAGUCUUGUGGAAAAUAAUAACAUUAUUAUUGUGUUCUCAUUAACUUUAGGGAAUGUUUUGAAACUGCUGUUAUAUGUGAAAGUAUGUACAUUGUACGCGAGAGAGAGAGUUGUAAGAAUCGUGGCUAUCUUCGAACUAAAUCUGUUUCAAUAGUUGAGUGGUCACUCCGCCAAGGAAGAUUUUUGUUGGUCGUAAAUUUGGACUUGAAUAGAGCCUUAUCUGGUCUAUACCUAGGUAUUACAGGUAUUACAUCUUAGAUACUCUGAGCCGCUGUCCUCGAGAACAACCGUUCGUAAAUACCAUGUAUUCGAUAAUUGGUGGUAUACUCUAUAGCACUGUAUUACUAGAACCUUUGCGAAUGAGCCAAAUCAGCCAGAAAAUGUGACCCUUUGCGAUUUAACUAUUGCGCUCUGCCAAGGAUCGUGUGUAUUUACUAGUAAUAAUUUAGGUUUUGCAAUUUUAUUGUUGCGAAUUGAUCAACCCCCGCAAAGUCAUAAUUACGUUGAUGUAAAACAGUCUAGCAAAACAUUCUAGUAAUGCGGUACUUCAAAUGGAUUUCCAGGAACUUGAUAUACCGGUCUUUCAACACCAAACAAAAAUAGGACAAAAAAUAUGGCGCUUAUUGUGUUAGAACGUACAGCAAUAAUUGUACAUAGAAACUCGAUUUCAAUCUGCGAAAUAAUAACUGAAGAAUAUAAAUUCCAGAAUUUACUUGGCGCUCAAUUAAAUUACUUUUUGGACUUGGCGUUUCUAUUAUGCACCUAUCAAUGAUAUGCCCCACAACGUGGUGUAAUGUAUCAUUUGUGUACAUAGAUUGUCUGUGGACCAUCGACGAGCAUUAUAAAUGAGAACUCACCAUCCACCCCACCAAAUAGUAGUGAGGUGACAUUGAGUGGUGGACAACGUCAACUAAAAAUUAAUGUCUCGGAGUGGCUUUCGUUUAUAUUCCAGUAAUGACGACAAAACGGCAUCUACUAAUGAUUUAAGUGACAGCUACAAGCGUCGGAUUGCUAUAAUAUACAAAAAGAUGGCCUUAAAAGAAUUUGAAAAGAAAGUGAAUGAAUAUGCUAUAGAACUGGCCCUGAAUGAUACCAGUUUACUGAAGAAACAAGGCGAUCUGCUGGCUCUAGCGAGACAGAAGGUAGCAGACAGUGGUUAUGUAUUCAAAAAAGGCACAUCACGAUUGAAAGCAUACAGGGCACCUACUCCAAAAAGACCUAGAUACGACAAAAUUAUGCGAGAUGACUGAUGAGUCAAGUCUAUUGAAGAUGAACUUACCGAUGUAUCCAGAAUGAUGAUAUUUAAAGUUUGCCUCAAGCGGAAGCUGCAAAGAAUUAUAAGCUCUGUGAGCAAGUGACAGAAGAAAUAAUGAGUCUAAAGUGUAGGAAGCGUGAACUAUUAAACGAAAAGCAUUUAUUUUCACAAAAUAAAAAGCGGUGUCUAAAAAGAAAGAUAGCAAAUUCUUCUUGUGAUUUUCACCUAUUACCUCUGAGCUAAUUGCCACGAGUACAAUGGAUCGCGUAUUAAUCCCGUAAAUUGCGAUGAUUCACCACAUUCCAUUUCUUCUGAUUCAUCUUUAAACUAGUGAUGCCUUCCCGUGGCUCAUCCGAUGAUGCUGUGAGAAGGCAUAGUCUUAAUUUAGUGUAUCAAGAACAGAUUAAAUGCAAUUUAUGUAACAAACAGGAACAGGUUGUUUCAAGCAAUGUUUAUGUGACUCUAUUUCGAGGACUCUCGUUAACUGAUUAUAUACAAGCACACACACUUUAUUGUUCAAGUACUCAUCUCAACCGAGUUUAAAAUGCAGUAAAAUGCUAUAUGUUGCUUCAAAUGUGCUAAGAGAUGGCUCGUUUAAAGCCACACAAGUAUACAAAUCUGAUGUAGCAAUCCUACGCUUUUUGCAAAUGCCUUUAGUAGCAAUACGCAUAGGUACUCUUUUGAGUGGACAGCCUAAGUGGUUUAUGCUUGAAUUUGUAAAUGGAGUUGACUAUCCAAAGUUGCGAAUUCGUACCGCCGAACAAUUUCAAAACUGUUUUUUUCCUAUAUUCAUCUCGUAGCUAAAGUCAGACAGUUUAAAUGCAGUAAAAUGCUAUAUGUUGCUUCAAAUGUGCUAAGAGAUGGCUAUGUAGUGCUUUCAACCUCGUUUAAAGCCACGCAAGUAUACAAAUCUGAUGUAGCAAUCCUACACUUUUUGCAAAUGCCUUUAGUAUGCAAAUGCCUUUAGUAGCAAUACGCAUAGGUACUCUUUUGAGUGGACAGGCUAAGUGGUUUAUGCUCGAAUUUGUAAAUGGAAUUGACUAUCCAAAGUUUGCUUUCGAACCGUAAAAUCGAUCGAAUUCGUACCGCCGAACAAUUUAAAAACUGUUUUUUCCUAUAUUCAUCUCGUAGCUCAUUUUGCUGAAGCUGGUCUAUUGUUAGAGUCCGACAGUAAGAAGCCUAAUUCCAAAAAUUACUAAAACUGGCUGGAACAGACAAAGAUAGAGAGCUAAUUCGAUACUCUGUGUAUAAGAUGUCUGGAUUAGUACCAAGUAGAGCACGCAAAGAGUUUGAUUUUGAUUGCAUUGCAGCAAGGGCUUCUCGUGUAGAAGAAUGUAUUAAAGAAGCGCAAACUAUCCGGGAGUCCAUCGACAAGAUUGCUAUGAUCCGUGAUAAGGCUCUACUGAUUACAUUGGGUCUCCAGGACUGUGAACCCUGUCUAUCCGAUAAUGAAUCCAGCUGUGAUUCCAGUUGUGACUCAGAAGAUAGUGAAUCAGUUCCAAAUGUUGACCCAUCCAUACACAUACCUCCCCCUGAAACUCUUAUUGAAAUUCUUAAUACUGCUCAGUAUAAUUGGUUCGAAUUAUACAAAGUUCGAAAAUUGUUUGUGGUACUGAUUUCAGUGAAUUGUAUUCGAAAUCCUUAGGCUUACAAAUGAGCAUUCACCGAAGGAACCUGUUAGAAAGAUCAUUUGCUUCGUAUGAAGCUACCCUACCAGACUAUUCUCAAAUUCGUGAUGAAAACGCUCUUAAUGGUGCAACAGUGUCUGACUCUGAUUGUGAUGACUCAGAAGAUUAUGUCGGUGAUACAUGUUUGUGCAAGAGGAGACCCUUUACCAGACACUACAAAAGAAAAGGGAUCAGAGGGUUGCAACUUAUAAUGGAAAGGGUUUGUCCAUGGAGAUUUCUUUUAAAUGGGUGUGGUUCUCUUGGUUCAUGGUUUAACUGUACAAUCGGAAAAUGUGAAGAAACAUUACGAAUAAAAGGAAAUUCUCUAGUACAAAAGAUACGCAGAUUAAAAGCAAAAAAGAUAGCAGAGAGGAACUUUUUGAGUCGAAAAAGGAGUAAACGAGUAAAUUCUAUUUUGAAACGGUUUCCAGAUAUCGGAAAAGCCGUUGAAUCCCUUCGUUGCUGAUUCUAACAUUGGGGCAUGCUCACAUUUGACGGAAAUUUGAAACUUGAUAAAAAGGUAACAUAUGAGAAAAUACGCCAGCACCUACAAGAAAAAUACAACCGUCAUUUCGCUUCGAGCAAGAGCAAGUACUUGGUCAUCGUAUAUAAACAUCGCAACACUGCAUGUGAUUGUUUUAUUGGGUAUUACACCACAGGUGAACUUAGGCUGGUCGUACAAAUGUCUCAUGGAACUGUUAAAGGUACGCUAAAUACCUAUCUUCAACAGCUUGAGUCUGGAAUAAUUAAAUUGCCUUCGGAGCGCACUCUCACAGAUUACACCCACUGGACCACCCCACACUCUAGAGUACAAUAAAAUCAUGAGUUCGUUGAAGAAAUUCUGGAGAGCGAGCUGCUCUCUAAACCACACAAUGUUUCCCUGUCAUGGACGAGAUGAAAAUCAAGAACGACCUAGUGUUCAACAAACACAGCGGCCAACUAGGUAGUGUGAAUGCUGAUAUCAAGAAGGAUGGCAGUGCCAAGACCCUAGCUGACCACGCCUUCGUAUUCCUAGCAAGAGCUGUUUUCAAGCCAACCAUCGGUGAUUCCUGUGGCUCACUACUUCAGUACAUCCCUUUCUCAUCAUUCUAUAAUACUAUAUCCAUGCAAGUAUAUAUUUUAUAUCCUGUGCAUGUGCAUGCAUGCAUGGGUGUGUGCUACAACGUAAUUUGCAUCAGCUAUAAUUAUACACAUGCAGGCGAAAAAAAUCUUUCCCAUAGUUUGGGAAGUGAUCAAGAGUCUAGAGCUUUAUGGCAUACUAGUGACCUCCCUAACCAGUGAGGGUGCUAAACCGAACAGGAGGUUUUACCACCUGUGUCAGCCACAAGUAGAAACCUGCCCUAAAAACGUGUCAACCUACAGAGAGGACAAGGAUCACUACUUCUUCUCCGAUGCCCCUCACUUGCUCAAAACAACAAGGAACUGUUUCAGCAACUCUUUCUCGCAUUCAAGAAGUCGGUAUUAUAAUUAAUAACUAUACAUAAUUAUAAUAAUAUUAUAUAUAUCCGUUGCAUUGCUUUUCUAGAAAAAGGGACAAGUGAUAAGUUGGAAGUCAAUUGAGAGCCUGACAAAAACAUCCAUAAUACAACACACUUUUUAGUUGCUAAAUGAAUUGACAUGUACAGCAAACGCAGUUAUUAUCUCUAGAAAAGGUGGGCAUGCAUUUAAUGAGGUAAGCUGCAUGUCGACCUUUAGCCUGGACAUGUAAUUAAACUUACCUGGUGUCUUUGCUGUGACUUUGGAACAACGUCUGCAGCCAAGCGGGCAGCUCUGUUAGAAGAACAACGCUCAAAGAAACACUUACGACUAAAGAAAUACCAAGAGAAAAAAGAAGUUGGAGACUGCAAAAACCAGCCAACCAGCAGCCACACCAUUUCGUUCUACCCAAUCAAAAAGUCAGCAUGUAUGUGUAUGCUCUUAUCACGAGAAUGUUUGCCUUCUUCUUGUAGCUUUGAGAGAGCAUACAUCACUUUUAGUCAAGUUUCAAGAUUUCAAGUUACCUGUGAUCCUCAGGUAAAGAUUGCCUGAGCAGUCAAUGUACAGUCCGAAAGAUUAUAUUGACAAAUAUGCACCAAGCGAUGGUGUUGCUACAGUUCGAUAUCACCAAUGAAUGGCAAAGUAUUGAUGGCAAAGUAAUGACAGAGUCGAAAACGUUGAAGUCUUGGGGACAGAGGAGGACACCUACGCUGGGCCAUUUUUGCUCCACACAUAACGUUAAAUGCAGACAUUAUUUUAUGAAAUCAAAAUGCGAUAGCAAGAAUGUUGUUCUCCAAGUAGAAAAUGCAAGUAUAGCAAGAGAAAAAGCAAAUCAUUCACUGUCGCCAUUCCUUGCUCAGAAAUGGGCUGGUGCAUUAGCAGUGCCGAGAACACAUCAGACUCAUUGCGUACAAACCAGUGGCAGAGACAAACUAAUGGUUGCUGAUACCUCAGACGCAACGGAGUUUCGCAUUGUACGAACGAAGAAAGUUUCAAGAAGAACAAGAAUUAGAACAACAAGAAUCCGAUAAAAAUGUCGAUGACUCAGAAAAUACACUAACUGCUACUGAUGACGAAAAAAGUUCUAUACGAGAGUUGACGGACGGUCAGACAACAGUGGGUGGUAGUGAAGUACGAUGGCAUGGAUUUCUGGGAGAAAUAACAAUAGCAAGUACAAGCAUUAUGAUCACUAUACUUACACAAUAAUUAUCCAACUGCUUUUUUUGUAUUGAUAGGUCUUACGAUGUCCAUAUUAUCGUACUCUGGGUUUGUUGGCCACUUCCAACCAUUGCCACUCCUCAUGCAUGCAUUACAUUCACCUCAGACUUACGAAGUUAUGUCAUCGAUUUAAAUUGAUGACAUUUUAGGAGUACGUCCGCCACAAAAUCGGUGUAUGGUCCGUCACAAGGAAAAGUAGCCGAUCUUUUAGAGACGGUGGGCCACAUCCCCAAAGAAUUGUCCACAAUAUGAGAUGUUCACCAUUGGCACAAGAGUAUUUUUGACAUAAGGGUGUUCAGCCCCUUCACGCAGAGUCACCAAAAUAUUUCCCUCUGUCAAUGCUAUAAGAAGAACGAACAGAAGAGCACACAAUCAACGCAUCAGAGAAGUAGAGCACGGAUCCUUCUCCCCCCUUGUCUUUUCUACACCAGGAGGAAUGGGACCAAUAGCUAAGUUUGUAUACAAGAGAAUAGCCUCAAUGACAGUGCAUAAAUAUGGCAAUAGGUGUGUAUACUGAGCUAUUCACUGGUGCGCUCAGCAACUAUAUAUGCACCUAAGAGGAUCCACGGGCCUUACCACUGAAUUGAACCUAAACUUGAAAAUAUUCAUUAAUAACCAUAAAAUAUUUUGUUGUCUAUACAUGCAUUUUGUACACGUCUUUUGUUGUUCAACACACACAACAAUUAGAUUCGCACAAGAUGGCCUUGAAGUCCCUAAAAAUGCCAGGUCGGUUCAAAUGGCUCAUUAAUUCGCCAAAUAUUAAAGAGCACCUUCUAUACGUUCAUCCAAAGAAGACUGUAAAAUCUUUUACACAGCUGAAACAUUUAGUAGCUGCUCUCAAAUAGUAGCCUCAGUGAACUUUGACUCUAUCAUCGCACACGUGGCAGCACACGCUAUCUUGCCUGUUACCAUAGAUACUGCACUGUACUGCAGCACCUGUCCUAGAUCCAAGAUCCCAGUCUCAUGGCCGAGUGUGUAGAGCAAGAGGUUCCCGAAGUUUUAAGGCAUCUUUCAAACUAACAGUGGUUGAAUUUUCUGAGAAAAAUACUAACAGAGGAGCUGGUAUAAAGUUUAGUGUUGAUGAAAAGAGAGUACGAGAAUGGAAGAAACAGAAAGAACAGCUGCUUUGUACACCAGCUAAGAAGAAAGGCUGGAAGGAGGAGAUAGAAAAGUAGCUCUACCAGAGUUAGAAGAGGAAUUUGCAUCAUGGAUUGAGAAUCUUACUUCUCUAACCAGUAUUCGGAGAAAGGCUUUUGAGAUGACACACCAAAGAGGUGAGGAUAACUUUAUGCCAGUAAUGGAUGGCUACUCAAUUUCCUCGCUAGACAUCAGUUUUCUCUGAGAAGAAGAACAACAAGUACAUAUGGCUGAAAUACCGUUGAAAAAGAGAGUGUUGAAAAAGAGAGUGUUUUAUAUCCGUAUUAAGAAAGCUGCGACUAUGUGAAGUUAACUCAAAAAAUUGCCCACCCUCAUACAAUUUGAAAACCGUAAGCACUAGGUCCACACGGGGCGAUUAUUAUCGAGGAAAUACUCUUCUUGGCGCCAAAAGUUCUGAUGUGGAAGAAGCAGUGGGAAAAGUGCUACAAGGAAUGUCAAAUCUACACGCUCUAGGACACAUCCAUUCUAGUGAGUAAUUCGCAUGUACUACGUGAUUCUGGUGUACGUUUAUAGGAGUAAGUGUUAAGACUUGGAGAAAGAAGAAAGGUUUGUUAUUCUACCUACUGUGUAUUCAUGGUACAAUGCAGCUCCAGACAAACAAGCUCCUGUCGCUGUCGUUGAUCCUGAGAGCCCAGUGAAAAGCAGCAGGAAAAAUGUUACAAGCAACGUCAAAUCUACGCACUCUAGGACACGUGCUGCAUGUGCUGGAGAAUGUACGCAUAUCUCAUUUUUGUACAUCAUUCUGGUGUGCACCAAUAGGAGUGAGUUACAGACUGGGAGAAAGAAGACAGGUUUGCAUUGCGUACGGGCACCUACUAUAAUUAUAUUCAUGGUAAAACGCAGCUCCUGACGACCAAGCUCCUGUCGCUGUCGUUGACCCCGAAGAGCCCAGUGAAAAGCAGCAUAAAAGGUGCUACAACAUAUGAAAGGUACACUUACAAGUAUCCAAUGGAGAAUCAUUACACUUACAAGUAUCCAAUGGAGAAUCAUUGUUUGAUGACUCAGAAACAAAUUCCUGCUUUGGUAAAGCGUUUUCAAAAUAUCCUCUGAAAACCAAAGUGAAAAUGCUUGUUAUUGGUCACAGAGCCAAACAAAAUCAAGGAUAAACUGUGGCAACUUGAAAGAGCUUAUAGGUAUUUAUACACUCAAUGUGACGUAGCUGCCAUGAUAAUGUUUGUGAAUGGAGAUGAAUGUGCAUUUCACGAAUGUAUAGAGGAUGUUGUUGCUGAUGUCGAGUUUUACAUGUAAAACAUAAGCUCACGUGGUGUUUUAAUUAGUGACCUUUUGACAUGCUGCUAACUCACAAGGAAUGACUCAUCAAGUAAAUCUCCUCCCUCUCAUGUACCAUCUAGAACUGGCAGACAUCAUGUUCUACAUAAACUCUUGUAAAAACACUCUAAGAUACAACAUUCUGGAUUAUGUCACACCAACUACAGGUUACACCAGAUCCUCGGACAAUAAUAGACUAAAUGACACGUACUCACGUACAAACACUUUUUAUUACAAUCGUCUCCCAAGAUUAUGGAAUAGCCUGCCAACAAUCGACAUGAACCUCACAAGCAGCACUAUCAAAGCCACAUUGAAGAAUCUCUUCUUCUUCAGCAAUUUCGACUCCGACAUUCCUUGCACCUUCCAUUUCAAGUGCCCAUGCGUAACAUUCACAUCUAAUUGUUUAUUAUAUAAUUAUGUAACCUGUUUCUACAGGCUUGCCAUCAGCAUUCCUAGGUCAGUGCUACAUACAUCAUUUAUUUUGUCCUGUGCUGAAAAAUCAUAUUGAUGAUAUGGUAAACAUCGACCUCUUGAUAACGUCAACUCCAUUUCAUAACAUCGAUUUUGACACACAAAUGGCAAAACAUUGACCUUUAUGAUGCUAUUUGUACAGCUAGCAGCAAGCUAUUGUAAUGAUUGUAUCUGUUGUUUUGAUGUAUAAUUAUAUCAACUGUGUUCAAAGUCAAUGGUAAGGCAAUGAACUUUCAACUUUCAAUCACAUUUUAUUACAGAAUCACACAUGUUAACAAGAGCAUAACUGAUACAUACAAUUUUAUCUAGUAGAGUUUUUGACUGAUCCUGUAAAGUACUGAUCCUGUAAAGUAAUGAGAAAGUCAAUGGGUUGUGUAUCACCGAGAAGAGAACAUUUUUUUCUGAUAUUACCUAUUACUCGCUCCACAUGAAUUCGAACAUUAGCUAUUUUUCUUGUCUGUUCCACCUCAAUACCAGACAAUUGGCUUUUACCUCUAGUGAAAGCGGGCAUCUUGAGAGUUGAACAGUAUGCACCUACUGAGUCACUGAUAUCAAAUCCUCGAUCAGCCAAAAUCGUGUCUCCAGGUACAAGAUAAGUGAGCAGCGAACAGUGCUCAGUGAUAUACUUGUCACUUGCUCUCCCUCCCCAUCCAUCUGAAAUGUAGCUUACAGUCCCUUGCGGUGUUAUUCCAAUCAAAUAUUUCACUGUAUUAUGAUGUUUAUAUUGCGAAUAUG